GAAAAUCUGAAACAAUGUUCAAAUGUGCACAGCAAAACAGGAUGUAUCAUGAAUAGAUUACUUCAAAAUGGCGGAAAAUAUAAGGAUGUAAACAACAUGCGUGUUAAGUAGCAAAAAAAAAGGUUGCGGCCAUAUGUAUAUAAUUGAAGAGUCCAGCUGCACACAAACACAAAAGUAUUUCUAUACCGUUUUGUCUGACUGAAGUCAGACUUCCUCAGCCAAGGAAUUUAACACAAUGACAGACAGUAUGUGAACAAUUAUGUAGUGGUUCCUCAAUGACAUUUACCCAACCAAACCACGAAAGGGAAGUUGUCACGUGCCAAAAACAUUAUCCAACUGAACAUUACUGUCGUGCGCUAACGGUUGCAUUUAUGUGCUGUCUCCAGCUCUUUUCUUUAUUUGUUCCAGUUCUAUUCACUGAUAAAAAAUCUACAUAUACCCAUAUAUAUUGUGCAAAAUAAGAAUCUCCCCAUCAACACACUUGAAAACUCUUUCACAAACAGUUGUUUGUUUGUUUACUUUUACUGCAAUGCGUACUUUAAAAUGAAA